UACGUAGGGUGCAAGCGUUGUCCGGAAUUAUUGGGCGUAAAGCGCGUGUAGGCGGUUUUGCAAGUCGGGUGUGAAAGCCCUCAGCUCAACUGAGGAAGUGCGCCCGAAACUGCAGAGCUUGAGUACCGGAGAGGAUGGUGGAAUUCCCCAAGUAGAGGUGAAAUUCGUAGAUAUGGGGAGGAACACCGGUGGCGAAGGCGACCAUCUGGACGGAUACUGACGCUGAGACGCGAAAGCGUGGGUAGCAAACAGG
rnacentral:rRNA from 1 species